rnacentral:rRNA from 1 species
UACGUAGGGUGCGAGCGUUAAUCGGAAUUACUGGGCGUAAAGCGUGCGCAGGCGGUCUGUUAAGACCGAUGUGAAAUCCCCCGGGCUUAACCUGGGAACUGCAUUGGUGACUGGCAGGCUUUGAGUGUGGCAGACGGAGGUAGAAUUCCACGUGUAGCAGUGAAAUGCGUAGAGAUGUGGAGGAAUACCGAUGGCGAAGGCAGCCUCCUGGGCCAACACUGACGCUCAUGCACGAAAGCGUGGGGAGCAAACAGG